rnacentral:lncRNA from 1 species
UGAUCUAUGGGUACAUGAGACUCCCUUGAUCUCAAAAAGGUUUGGCUAAGGACAAUACUUGCAAGUUAUAGUCGGUAUGACGAUACCAUCAUGUAUAGCCUCGGUUAAUAACAAUGGUUUAAUUUGUUGUAAGUGAUUUUAAUUGGGCAAUAAUGGCGGGGUGUGAUAGCUAAGUGUGAAGGUGGGAGUUCAAUGAACGAACACUGGAAACUCAUGUUAGCUGACAGAGGGGUAGUUCAUGGAAACCUUAUAUGAUAC